rnacentral:lncRNA from 1 species
CAAAGAUCUAACCAUAACAGUACAUGACAUAGUAUAUACACUUCCUGACAAAGUCUAACCAUAACAGUACAUGUCCGUUAUACACUUCCUGACAAAGAUCUAACCAUAACAGUACAUGACAUAGUAUAUACACUUCCUGACAAAGAUCUAACCAUAACAGUACAUGACAUAGUAUACACUAAGGCAAAGCUCCAAAUAGCUUUGACACUUGCACACUGUCCAUUCCAGCCAUGUAAGUAGAUAACACAGUCCCUCUACCCAAUCCAUAGACUUGUACAUCAAUUAUGAUACAGAAUAAUACAUCUGUUGGCUGUUGAAAACUAUGGGGGCCUACUGGUCAGUGUGACAGACAAAUAGACAUGUACACUAAACAUAUACUGUUUGUGUCUACUUUCAUAUUCCAUGUGUAGCGAGACACACAUCUGCAGUAUAUUUUCCCAUACAUAUAUACAUACUUUUGCGUUGCAUUAAAAUGAUCUCCAACUCUAAUAUCAAACACCUUGAUUCAUCUGCAAGGUAGGUUAGUUUCCUUUUUAUCUAUGUCAGUCAGCGUGGUCCACAAUUCUGUGCUCUGGUCUUAACUCUUGGAAGAAGAUACUGGGAAGUAUCCUGUCGGUGGUCCUCCGAUCUCUGCAUAGUACUUGGUGUUCUCCAUCUCUCCACUGGUCCGAAGAGUGACUCUGAUGGUUGAACCCUGAGCUGACCACUGGACUGCAUGAACAGGACAACUACCAGGCUGAUUUGUCAAGAUACAAAUUUACCAAAGGGAUAUGUUUAGACUUUAAAAUGCCUAUGAUAAAGAUAAUUAAUGAAUUUACAGAGCUGUGUAACAACUCUUAUUACAUCCAUGUUAGAGUGGGUGUCUGUUAAACUAUGUGAUUUAGUUUGAAAUCCUGACUCUUCGGUAGAUAAGCCACGUUAGGAAUUGAACUGUUCUGCCUGUGGCUAUGGAAUCCUGACCUGUUCACCGGACGUGCUACCUGUCCCAGACCUAUUAUUUGACCAUGCUGGUCAUUUAAACUUUGAACAUCUUGGCCAUGUUCUGUUCUAAUCUCCACCCGGCACA